GGCAUUGUAGCUCAGCUGGUAGAGCACUCGCUGUACUAAAGCGAGGGUGGCGGCCAUGAGUAGGUUCGAGUCCCGCCGGCGCCA
rnacentral:tRNA from 1 species